rnacentral:rRNA from 1 species
AGGACGAACGCUGGCGGCGUGCUUAACACAUGCAAGUCGAGCGGAAAGGCCCUUCGGGGUACUCGAGCGGCGAACGGGUGGGUAACACGUGAGCAACCUGCCCUUAGCUCCGGGAUAGCUCCGGGAAACCGGAAUUAAUACCGGAUACGACCACGGCCGACAUCUGCUGUGGUGGAAAGGAUUCCGGCUAAGGAUGGGCUCGCGGCCUAUCAGCUAGUUGGUGGAGUAACGGCCCACCAAGGCGACGACGGGUAGCCGGCCUGAGAGGGCGACCGGCCACACUGGGACUGAGACACGGCCCAGACUCCUACGGGAGGCAGCAGUGGGGAAUAUUGCGCAAUGGGCGAAAGCCUGACGCAGCGACGCCGCGUGGGGAUGAAGGCCUUCGGGUUGUAAACCCCUUUCAGCAGGGACGAAGCGAAAGUGACGGUACCUGCAGAAGAAGCGCCGGCUAACCACGUGCCAGCAGCCGC